rnacentral:rRNA from 1 species
AACGAACGCUGGCGGCAUGCCUAACACAUGCAAGUCGAACGGGCCGUAGCAAUACGGUCAGUGGCGAACGGGUGAAUAACGCGUGGGAACCUACCCCGGAGUUUGGGAUAACCGCGGGAAACUGCGGCUAAUACCGGCUACGACCUGAGGGUGAAAGGAGCAAUCCGCUCUGGGAGGGGCCCGCGUCCGAUUAGCUAGUUGGUGGGGUAACGGCCUACCAAGGCGAUGAUCGGUAGCUGGUCUGAGAGGA